GGUUUCUGGCAGCACAGGUGGAGACAGCCUCACUUUCAAAUUUAAUCUAUGCACAGGCAGAAAUCAGUGAGCGCAGAAGAAAGAAUUGAAAGAAUUAUUACCGAGCAUGCAGAGAUUCUUGUAACAAUGUAACAUUGCAGUAGGUGCCAAGAAGCAAGAGUGCCAAAGAGACUUACUUCAGCUCAGAUACACUUGUCUUUGGAUCUGUGGUACUUGAUUUCUGUUUUUGCUUGACCUGGGCUGCCUGCAGGCCUUCUGUGAGCUUGGAGAAUGAGCACAGCCCACUUGUAACACAGGCAGGAAGUUGGCAACUUAAUGGUCCUAGGAGAAGCAGCCCUCCAGAAUUCAGAAACAAGAACAGCUUGGAAAGUCCUCAGUGGCCCAGUGUAAAGAAGAAGGAUAAAGGAGCUACUCAGUACUCUUCUUAUGAUAGAGGACAGAAAACAAACAUCUAAAGACUACCAUGAUGCAUAUUUCAAGUCUCUGUAUUAACUGGCUGGAUUUAGCCAUUUCACAGUGUAUGUGA